UAUAGAGUGUGUGGGUGUGAUUAUAGAGUGUGUGAUUAUAGUGUGUGUGAUUAUAGAGUGUGUGAUUAUAGAGUGUGUGAUUAUAGCGUGUGUGAUUAUAGAGUGUGUGAUUAUAGUGUGUGUGUGUGAUUAUAGAGUGUGUGUGUGAUUAUAGUGUGUGUGAUUAUGGUAGGUGUGUGAUUAUAGAAGGUAGUAGUAUAGUAUAGUAUAAGAGGUAUAGAAGAUGUGUGAUUAUAUUAAGUGUGAUUAUAGAGUGUGAGAUAAUGGCAGGUGUGUGACUAUAGUGUGUGUGAUUAUGGAGUGUGUGAUUAGAGUGUGAUUAUAGAGUGUGUGUGUGAUUAUAGUGUGUGUGUGAUUAUAGAAGGUAGUAGUAUAGUAUAGUAUAAUAGGUAUAGUAGGUGUGUGAUUACUGCGAGAGUGUGAUUAUAGUGUGUGUGAUUAUAGUGUGUGUGAUUAUAGUGUGUGUGAUUAUAGUGUGUGUGAUUAUAGUGUGUGUGAUUAUAGAGUGUGUGAUUAUAGAGUGUGUGAUUAUAGUGUGUGUGAUUAUAGAGUGUGUGAUUAUAGAGUGUGUGUU